AUGAGCCCCUGCCUCCUGGGCUGUGUGGUCUUCUGUCUCCUGCAGGCAGGGGCGGUCCAUGCUGGUGUCACUCAGGACCCCGGAUUCCAGGUGGUGAGGACAGGAGAGAGCGCGACACUGAGAUGCACUCAGGAUCUGAGCUUUAGCUAUAUGUACUGGUACCGACAAGACCCGGGACACGGGCUGAGGCUGAUCCAUUACUCAGUUAUCCCUCCCGCCACGGAGAAAGGAGCCGUGCCCGAGGGCUACAGCGUCUCCAGACCAAGCACAGAGAACUUCCCUCUCACGCUGGAGUCCGCCAACGCCUCCCAGACAUCUGUGUACUUCUGCUCCUGCGGUUAUCCACAGCGCUGCACGGCCACCUCCUCUCUGUGCAAAAAGAUGAGGGAAGCCCUGCAGCCUGGAAGGAGGAGAGCCCCUUGCAGGCUUCUCACACCCGGAGCCUUGGAUUCCAGGGCCACAUGCCUGCAGUGUGACGCUGAGUGUGUGUCUCAUAUCACGCCCAGCUACAUCGACGUUAAAUAG